rnacentral:rRNA from 1 species
GGGCACGACACCGGAGAGGGAGCCUGAGAAACGGCUACCACAUCCAAGGAUGGCAGCAGGCGCGCAAAUUACCCAAUCCCGACACGGGGAGGUAGUGACAAUAAAUAACAAUACGGGGUUCUUUCGGAUCUCGUAAUUGGAAUGAGUACAAUUUAAAUCUCUUAACGAGGAACAAUUGGAGGGCAAGUCUGGUGCCAGCAGCCGCGGUAAUUCCAGCUCCAAUAGCGUAUAUUAAAGUUGUUGCAGUUAAAAAGCUCGUAGUUGAAUUUCGGGAUCAGAUUGUCGGUCGUGCCUCGGUACGCACUGGCAUUAUUGGUUCCUACCUUCUGAAGAACCGCGAUGUCAUUAAUUUGGUGUCGUGGGGAAUCAGGACUGUUACUUUGAAAAAAUUAGAGUGUUUAAAGCAGGCGCACGCUUGAAUACAUUAGCAUGGAAUAAUGAAAUAGGACGUUUGAUUCUAUUUUGUUGGUUUCUAGGAUCGACGUAAUGAUUAAUAGGGAUAGUUGGGGGCAUUAGUAUUCAAUUGUCAGAGGUGAAAUUCUUGGAUUUAUUGAAGACUAACUACUGCGAAAGCAUUUGCCAAGGAUGUUUUCAUUAAUCAAGAACGAAAGUUAGGGGAUCGAAGACGAUCAGAUACCGUCGUAGUCUUAACCAUAAACUAUGCCGACUAGGGAU